CAGAAGUGCCUGGUGUGGAUAACAACCCAGCCUGGUAGUAAGAGUAGCACAUCUCAAUGCUGUGCACUGUGGUUAGGGUUGCUUUUCUCAGAACAGAUCUAUUCCAGCCUCCACAAACACACCAACAUCCAGCAACUGAAAUAAUUUUAAAAGAAUAAAUAAGAUUAAAUUGGCGGUGUACAUCCAAGGAGGAGAAGUCAGUAUUUGGCCUUCUCUGUAGCCAAACUGCAGAUCUGCCACAAUUUACUGUACAUUUUUCUGCUUUUAAGGUAAAUGUUGAACCCAAGAGCAGUGUGCAUACUUUGGAAUGUACUUGCACAAUAAUGUUACUACUCCCCAGUGAAUAUUUUGUUGGCCUAUUUAGUAGAGUAUCUUUGAUUUUUUUUUCCACUUUUUUUCCUCAUUUGUGGUGCAUUUUUUAGUUUUGUUUAGGUUUUACACUCAAGAAAUUAUCCAGGCUAGUGGCUACUGCAGCUGCCAAGUCCACUCUACCCUGACAGAGAAAAAUGCAGAGCUCUUGAACUUUGUAGAUCCAACUGUAUCACAGGAGCUCUCACUGUAAUAUAUGAUUUUAUAUGGGAUGUAUUAAAAGAAAGCAACAUUUUUCUCCUUCUUUUAUCUUGCCAUUACUAAUUUUAUCUGGUUUCAUCAAGGAUUAGCAAAAUAUGAACCUGGAAAGGAUUAUUUGCCACUUCAUUUUGAAAAGAUUCCUCCUCAGGAGAAUACCUUUGGAUUUUUUUGCAGUCUGUAAAACCUACACAAACUCAUAAAUUUUAUUUGGGAAUCUUUUAUUUGAACUGAAGGAAAGUAUAAUAAAGAUAAUUUGAAUGGAAAUAAAAAAGAGAGA
rnacentral:lncRNA from 1 species